rnacentral:rRNA from 1 species
ACUUAGCGGCGGACGGGUGAGUAACACGUAGGCAACCUGCCCUCAAGACUGGGAUAACUACCGGAAACGGUAGCUAAUACCGGAUAAUUUCUUUCCUCUCCUGAAGAGAGAAUGAAAGGCGGAGCAAUCUGCCACUUGGGGAUGGGCCUGCGGCGCAUUAGCUAGUUGGUGGGGUAACGGCUCACCAAGGCGACGAUGCGUAGCCGACCUGAGAGGGUGAACGGCCACACUGGGACUGAGACACGGCCCAGACUCCUACGGGAGGCAGCAGUAGGGAAUCUUCCGCAAUGGGCGAAAGCCUGACGGAGCAACGCCGCGUGAGUGAUGAAGGUUUUCGGAUCGUAAAGCUCUGUUGCCAGGGAAGAACGUCCGGUAGAGUAACUGCUA